GUUGGCAAUGACAGAACUUGGGAAAACAUAAAGAAGAAGGCAAUUGUGCAUGACUCUAAAAUGACCUAUGAAAGGUAAAAGUCAUGAUCCAUCUGGGAAAGUCUAAAGAAAGGAAUUAAAAUGUCUUAACUAUGAAUGUCAAGCCACUUUGGGAAUCAGCUUCCAGAAACUGAAAGAGGCAGAACCUGCCAGUCAGGGCCUGGAGUAUGGAGAACAAACAGAAAGACAAAAACUAACUGAACUGAUCCACCUCAUCUGAACAACUGAAC
rnacentral:lncRNA from 1 species